rnacentral:rRNA from 1 species
CAUAGGUUAAUGAGGCGAACCGGGGGAACUGAAACAUCUAAGUACCCCGAGGAAAAGAAAUCAACCGAGAUUCCCCCAGUAGCGGCGAGCGAACGGGGAGGAGCCCAGAGCCUGAAUCAGUGUGUGUGUUAGUGGAAGCGUCUGGAAAGGCGCGCGAUACAGGGUGACAGCCCCGUACACAAAAAUGCACAUAUUGUGAGCUCGAUGAGUAGGGCGGGACACGUGGUAUCCUGUCUGAAUAUGGGGGGACCAUCCUCCAAGGCUAAAUACUCCUGACUGACCGAUAGUGAACCAGUACCGUGAGGGAAAGGCGAAAAGAACCCCGGCGAGGGGAGUGAAAAAGAACCUGAAACCGUGUACGUACAAGCAGUGGGAGCCUCUUAAUGGGGUGACUGCGUACCUUUUGUAUAAUGGGUCAGCGACUUAUAUUCUGUAGCAAGGUUAACCGAAUAGGGGAGCCGAAGGGAAACCGAGUCUUAACUGGGCGUUAAGUUGCAGGGUAUAGACCCGAAACCCGGUGAUCUAGCCAUGGGCAGGUUGAAGGUUGGGUAACACUAACUGGAGGACCGAACCGACUAAUGUUGAAAAAUUAGCGGAUGACUUGUGGCUGGGGGUGAAAGGCCAAUCAAACCGGGAGAUAGCUGGUUCUCCCCGAAAGCUAUUUAGGUAGCGCCUCGUGAAUUCAUCUCCGGGGGUAGAGCACUGUUUCGGCAAGGGGGUCAUCCCGACUUACCAACCCGAUGCAAACUGCGAAUACCGGAGAA